CCUACGGGGGGCAGCAGUAGGGAAUCUUCCACAAUGGACGAAAGUCUGAUGGAGCAACGCCGCGUGAGUGAUGAAGGGUUUCGGCUCGUAAAGCUCUGUUGGUAGUGAAGAAAGAUAGAGGUAGUAACUGGCCUUUAUUUGACGGUAAUUACUUAGAAAGUCACGGCUAACUACGUGCCAGCAGCCGCGGUAAUACGUAGGUGGCAAGCGUUGUCCGGAUUUAUUGGGCGUAAAGCGAGUGCAGGCGGGUCAAUAAGUCUGAUGUGAAAGCCUUCGGCUCAACCCGAGGAUCGCAUCAGAAACUGUUGAACUUGAGUGCGGAAGAGGAGAGCGGAACGCCAUGUGUAGCGGUGGAAUGCGUAGAUAUAAGGAAGAACACCAGUGGCGAAGGCAGUCUGCUGGACAGCAACUGACGGUGAGGCGCGAAAGCGUGGGGAGCAAACAGGAUUAGAUACCCCGGUAGUC
rnacentral:rRNA from 1 species